rnacentral:tRNA from 1 species
GAAAAAGUAACUCAGUUGGUAGAGUGUUGGUUUGUCAUAUCAGUGGGCGCGGGUUCAAUUCCCGUCUUUUUCG